rnacentral:rRNA from 1 species
AGAGUUUGAUCCUGGCUCAGGAUAAACGCUGGCGGCGCACAUAAGACAUGCAAGUCGAACGAACUUAAUUGAGAGCUUGCUCUCAAAGCGGUUAGUGGCGGACUGGUGAGUAACACGUAAGCAACCUGCCUAUUAGAGGGGAAUAACAGCGAGAAAUCGUUGCUAAUACCGCAUAUGCUGUGAGUAUCGCAUGAUACAAGCAGGAAAGGAGCAAUCCGCUAAUAGAUGGGCUUGCGUCUGAUUAGUUAGUUGGUGGGGUAACGGCCUACCAAGACGAUGAUCAGUAGCCGGACUGAGAGGUUGAACGGCCACAUUGGGACUGAGAUACGGCCCAGACUCCUACGGGAGGCAGCAGUCGGGAAUAUUGCGCAAUGGAGGAAACUCUGACGCAGUGACGCCGCGUGCAGGAAGAAGGUUUUCGGAUUGUAAACUGCUUUUAACAGGAAAGAAAAAAAUGACGGUACCUGUUGAAUAAGCUCCGGCUAACUACGUGCCAGCAGCCGCGGUAAUACGUAGGGAGCGAGCGUUAUCCGGAUUUAUUGGGUGUAAAGGGUGCGUAGACGGAAAUGCAAGUUAGUUGUGAAAUACCUCGGCUUAACUGAGGAACUGCAACUAAAACUAUAUUUCUUGAGUAUCGGAGGGGUUUGUGGAAUUCCUAGUGUAGCGGUGAAAUGCGUAGAUAUUAGGAAGAACACCGGUGGCGAAGGCGACAAACUGGACGAUAACUGACGUUGAGGCACGAAAGUGUGGGGAGCAAACAGGAUUAGAUACCCUGGUAGUCCACACCGUAAACGAUGGAUACUAGGUGUUGGCAAUGAAUAAUUGUCGGUGCCGGCGCUAACGCAAUAAGUAUCCCACCUGGGGAGUACGACCGCAAGGUUGAAACUCAAAGGAAUUGACGGGGGCCCGCA